GACCCAGUGGCCGAGUGGAUAACGCGGUGGUGUUUGAAGCGAAAGGUACUAGGUUCGAGUCCCAGGUUGAAC
rnacentral:tRNA from 1 species